rnacentral:misc_RNA from 1 species
CGCUUCUCGGUGGUGAUCUGGGCAAUGAAGGAAGGAGCAGAGCUGGCGAAGAAGAUCAAAGAGCCGAGGUAGGCAGCGCCCUUGUAAGAGAGAGUGCCAGUGGCGUUGAUGAGGGCACCGACACCGUAGGACUGGACGGCAGAGCCGACGAGGGAAGUACCCCAGGCAGAGGCGGCAGAGGCAGCCUCCUUGGACUUGAAGAACUCCUCCUUGGAGUUGGAGGCCUGGGCCUGACGGUAGGUGUCACCGAAGACGGGGCCGAGGACAGCAAGGGAGAUGGCGUGGCUGUAGACGGUGCCGAGGGCGACCGCGGAGGGCUUAACGGGAGGGAGGUAAGAAAGGGUGGCCAUUGUGAAG